rnacentral:rRNA from 1 species
CCUACGGGGGGCAGCAGUGGGGAAUAUUGGGCAAUGGGCGCAAGCCUGACCCAGCAACGCCGCGUGAAGGAAGAAGGCUUUCGGGUUGUAAACUUCUUUUCUCAGGGACGAAGCAAGUGACGGUACCGGAGGAAUAAGCCACGGCUAACGACGUGCCAGCAGCCGCGGGAAUACGUAGGGGGCAAGCGUGAUCCGGAUUGACUGGGUGUAAAGGGCGUGGAGGCGGGAAAGCAAGUCAGAUGUGACAACCACGGGCUCAACCUGUGGCCUGCAUUUGAAACUGUUUUUCUUGAGUACUGGAGCGUCAGACGGAAUUCCUAGUGUAGCGGUGAAAUGCGUAGAUAUUAGGAGGAACACACGUGGCGCAGGCGGUCUGCUGGACAGCAACUGACGCUGCGGCGCGAAAGCGUGGGGAGCAAACAGGAUUAGAUACCCCGGUAGUC